UGAGCCUUGACCUGUGAGCACAGGGCUGGCAUACCGGCAAGGAAAAGCACUGAAGCCGCUCGCAAGCUAUGCAAAACACUCUGGCACCCAAAUAAGUACAAUAAAAACUGCAAAACUAAUCUUUAACCUUAGCUCAUAGCAUUGGGGUUAUUAAAGUUAUUAAAACGCAGUCGUUGGAGAGCUUGGGGACUCUGUUAUGGUAUCUGCAGCUCAUUGAGUCUCAUGUAGGAAUUUUGCCCGGGGGGAUUUUCUCGUUAAUGCAUAUGUUGACUGGCAAAUUGCUUUCUGUCUGCAGCUCUGGCUGGGUGACGAGCUGGGAUGUUUCCAUAUGGAGGCACUGCUGCUGCUGAUUGAGGUGAAGAGGACAGAGUGGGGAAAACGCUCAAGUAAUUCAAAACCCGUGUGUGAUCGAGCCUCCUGGUGCUCUAACCCAGCUACAAAUAUUAAGCGUGGGGUUGGGAUGGGAUUUCAGCCCGGCCCGGUGGCUCCUCUUGCAGGCACGCCGCAGCCUCAUCAAUCUGCUGCUGGCAGGGCAGCCGCCUUUCUGGGGAGCAGGGCUCCUCUCCUCUCCCUGCCCAGCUUCCCCCCCCCUCCCAUUAAUCACACUAAUUGCAGGCUGGGGCAAAAAAAAAAAAGCAUUUUAAAAUUCGCCUACAAGGCCGUGGUGGGAGCGGAACUGCUUCUUUCCACCCCCACCUGCGGCUGGGAUGCGAGGCAGGGGGGGCACCGUGGGAUGGGGCGCGCGGCGUGUUACAUUCCACAGGAUUUGGUUAUGAGGACAAAGCCAGGACCCCUCGGGCAGAGGGAUGCUCUCCCAGGGCCAUCCCCGGACAUGCCUCUGCCUGGGGUUUGCCACAAAAGGCAUUCGCAUUUGGUCCCUAUGCUCAGAAUGAAAGAAAAGCCAUCUAAUUGCUGCCGGCUGAGCUGGAGGACUGCAAACAGAAACUCGAAGGAGGCCGUGCGGUGUGGAGCCCUUGGAUCCUCAGCACAUCCAUGGGUCACACCAGGGGGAGUGCGGAUCUGUCCUCUGGCCUGCCGGGCGCUGAGCUUGGGGGAAAGGAGGGGCCCAGCAAAAUAUUCUGCGAUGAAGCAAGGCAGCAGCGCGUGCCCAGCCCUCCCUCUGUGCAGAGACCUCUCGCCGAGGGCCCUUACAGAGCCCCCGAGGUCCCUGCCCUUCUGCCAGAGCCCCUGCCUCCACUGCCAAGUAUUUCCCACUGGGAUCAUUUUUAAUAAGAAAAAAAUGACUUUUGGUCAAACGCUGCUUUGCAAAGUGUGUGCUUUUCGCAUAAAAGCUUGCGUUGUGUCAAAACAUUUCUUUCCAGUCUCUUAA
rnacentral:lncRNA from 1 species